GGGCGAGUGGCGAAAUGGCAGACGCGCUGGCUUCAGGUGCCAGUGUUCGCAAGGACGUGGGGGUUCAAGUCCCCCCUCGCCCACAA
rnacentral:tRNA from 5 species